GACGAACGCUGGCGGCGUGCUUAACACAUGCAAGUCGAACGGUAAGGCCCUUCGGGGUACACGAGUGGCGAACGGGUGAGUAACACGUGGGUGAUCUGCCCUGCACUUUGGGAUAAGCCUGGGAAACUGGGUCUAAUACCGGAUAGGACCAUGCGCUGCACGGUGUGUGGUGGAAAGCGUUUGCGGUGUGGGAUGGGCCCGCGGCCUAUCAGCUUGUUGGUGGGGUAAUGGCCUACCAAGGCGACGACGGGUAGCCGGCCUGAGAGGGUGACCGGCCACACUGGGACUGAGAUACGGCCCAGACUCCUACGGGAGGCAGCAGUGGGGAAUAUUGCACAAUGGGCGCAAGCCUGAUGCAGCGACGCCGCGUGAGGGAUGACGGCCUUCGGGUUGUAAACCUCUUUCAGUAGGGACGAAGCGCAAGUGACGGUACCUACAGAAGAAGGACCGGCCAACUACGUGCCAGCCGCCGCGGUAA
rnacentral:rRNA from 1 species